rnacentral:rRNA from 1 species
GACGAACGCUGGCGGCGUGCUUAACACAUGCAAGUCGAACGGAAAGGCCUGCUUUCCCUUGUGGAUUGCGGGUACUCGAGUGGCGAACGGGUGAGUAACACGUGAGUGAUCUGCCCCCAACUUGGGUAUAAGCCUGGGAAACUGGGUCUAAUUCCCGAUAGGACUGCAGGGUGGUGCCUGUGGUGGAAAACGAUUUUCUAGUGGUUGGGGAUGAGCUCGCGGCCUAUCAGCUUGUUGGUGGGGUAAUGGCCUACCAAGGCGGCGACGGGUAGCCGGCCUGGGAGGGUGGACGGCCACAUUGGGACUGAGAUACGGCCCAGACUCCUACGGGAGGCAGCAGUGGGGAAUAAGGCACAAUGGGCGGAAGCCUGAUGCAGCGACGCCGCGUGGGGGAUGACGGCCUUCGGGUUGUAAACUCCUUUCGACCGCGAGGAAGCCACCUGGUUGGAAGGGUGGUGACGGUAGUGGUAGAAGAAGCACCGGCUAACUACGUG